AAUAAAUUUUAAAAAAACAAAAAAAAUAAAGUGGAGUAAUGAACGCAUAGCAGUAUUCAUCUUCCUCUCUCUGUUUCGCGUUUCCAAACACAAACUCCAUGAAAAAACAAAAAUUCCUCAGGAAUUUUGCACAAAAAAAACAAAAUCAAAACACAAAAUUAUCUACACAAACCCUCUCCAAAAUUUGUCCCUCAUCACAAAUCUAACCAUGAAAUCACCAAAAAAAUGAUACACAAACCAGAUCGGAGCACCCAAAACGAACCCUAAACUAACAAAAUCCUUCAAUCGACUCAAGUUUCACACAAUCAAACAUGGCUAGCAACAUGGAAUCAUAUUUCAAAAGAAAACUUAUAACAAAAUGAAAGGUAAGAGUGACUUAUUACCAAUCCGAAAGUUAUCGGAGCGACGAUUCCGUGAGGACAAAAGGGCUUUUCUGCUUAGAAAAGCAGAUGCAGCAGAAGAUGGAAAGAUAAGCCAUUUUGUGUUAUUUUGGGUUACUGCAAAAAAUAAACAUGUAGUAAACUUUGAUAUGUUUUGAAAUAUUUCUUGUUUUAUAAUGUUUGAAGUAACUGUAGAAAUUUGUUGUGAAUUUUCUGAUGUAAUUGAAGUCCCUUUUGUUAA